UAGAAAUUUAUAAAUUAGGUAGUAAAGAAAUUUCCGAAACCUAAAGAAUAUGGCGGUGUUUUAAAUAAUUGGAGGAACCUAUUAUAUAAUUGAUAAUCCACAACAGAUCUUCCCUUAUUUUUGUUUGUAUAUCGUCGUUUUAGAUAUUAUUUAAAAAUAAUAUCAAGAAUAAUCAAAUUUUAUAAAUCAGAUCAAGAUGCAGCAUAAUUAGGAAAUAAUGGGUUACAAUAUUUUUAAAAUAAUUACGGAUAUAGAAAGGAAAAAUAAAUUGAAGGAGGAUUCAAAAGUAAUAAAAAAUUAAUAUGUUUUUUUGAAUAAUAAUUUAAAACAUGC
rnacentral:rRNA from 1 species